rnacentral:rRNA from 1 species
UACGGGGGGGGUAAGCGUUGUUCGGAAUUACUGGGCGUAAAGGGCUCGUAGGCGGCCAACUAAGUCAGACGUGAAAUCCCUCAGCUUAACUGGGGAACUGCGUCUGAUACUGGAUGGCUUGGAUCCGGGAGAGGGAUGCGGAAUUCCAGGUGUAGCGGUGAAAUGCGUAGAUAUCUGGGGGAACACCGGUGGCGAAGGCGGCCUGCUGGGCAGUUACUGACACUGAGGCGCGACAGCGUGGGGAGCAAACAGG